CGAGUCGGCCUGCGCGGAAGAUGUAACGGGGCUAAACCAUGCACCGAAGCUGCGGCAGCGACACUGUGUGUUGUUGGGUAGGGGAGCGUUCUGUAAGCCUGCGAAGGUGGCCUGUGAGGGUUGCUGGGCGGCAUGAUGG
rnacentral:rRNA from 1 species